CACUCCUGUGGGCGGGCAGGCAGGCACACAGCUUGCUGCCUGCCUGACAGCCGGCAGCUUCCCCACUCACCUCCCAGCGGCCUGCCCUCUCCACCUACCUUCAGGAAUUUAUGCAGCAGGAAGGUGAACCAGUUGGUUUUUCUCUAUGAGGUCCGCCAGCAGUUGCUUGAGCAGCCCUGUGGCGUAAUCGAGGCGGCUCUGCAGGGCCACCAUGGUGAGGGAGGCCACCGUGCCACGGUCGCGCAUGGAGAAGCUGCGCUGGGCCUCCAGCGUGUGGAUGAAGGGCCACCCGGGACUCCAAGUUGUCCAUCUGUAGCUGCAGCCGCUUCAGUGUGCGGUCUGCAUCCUGAGUCUUGCGUUUGUAGGCGACCAGCACCGCGGUGAUGGCCAGCAGCAAGAGCCCACCCCCCGCUGCCAGCCCCACCAUGGCUGGCAGGGUCAGCGCCCGCUCGGCCGUGAUGUGCAGGGUGCCCAGCCAGAACUCCAAGCCGCCCACCAGCACCUGCGGGGACAGGCUCGCCGUGAGCUGACCCUCACAGUACUCCCAAGCUCCCCUGGUGGCCUCCCUCCCCGCUACCCACCAUGACAGGCUGCCGGCCUGUCUGGCGCGGGGAGUCACACAGGAGUUGCGUGUCUGAGACAGUGAGCGCACAUGGCUGGCCCCCAAUCAGCACCGUGUAGUUGAGGCGGGAGCUGCCAGCUGCUGCAGGGAUCAGAUUCUUGCCCUGCGGGUAGAGGGCCGGGUCAGCCAGGGCUCCCUGCCUCCCUACACUCCUGUCCCUGUGCCCCACCUCGCAGGCACCUUCAGCACGACGUGGGAGCCCGGUUUGACAUCCAGGACACCAGAGGGCCCCAGCGGCUCGAAGCUGGGGUCGGGGUAGUAGGUGAAAGAGGACCGGUUGAGGGAGCGGGCGGUCUGCACGUGGUCCAGCAGGAAGCCAAACUCAUCUGGGUGCUCGCCCUGGGCCUGCAGCUGGGGCCGCCCCAGGAAGAUGCCAGGGGCCUUGCACAGCAUGGCAGUGUCGUUGAUCACGUGGCACGUCUGCAGGGAUGAAAAGGGGCAGCCUGGCACAUGGGGCCACAGGCGGCAGGGCGUCAGGGGCAGGAGGAAGGCAGCUGGCACUCACAUUGGUGGUCUCGAUGCCCCGGUACUUGGCCCGGACCCGGGGCUCCUGAACCGUCAGCAGGUGGGUCCCACUCACAGUGAUGGCUGUGCUUCCACUAGGGACAGGGGUGAGGGGCCUCAGCCUUCCUCCCCACUGCCCUCACCCUGCCCUGGAAGGGUAUUUAGGCUGCCAUGGGGGCCCAGGACCUCCCCAUUUGGGUCCACCGGUGGGUGCCCAAUGCCGUGUGCUCGGGAGGAGCUUGCCCUCUCUGCCGGUGAGGGCUCAGGCUCAGAGGAGGUGUAUCUUGAUGCCUGAGGCCUCAGUCACGGGGCAAGGCCCCAGGACAGGAGCUCGCGGGCCCCAGCCCCAGCCCUCUCUAUGCUAGGUGGGCCCUGCUCCCCUGCGGUCUUACUUGAUGAUGCUCCAGGUGGGUUCAAGGCGAGUGACGGUGGGGUCCUGGGUGUAGGUGUAGAGGACUCCAGGACUGGAGAUGUUGGCGCGGUCAAUGGCCAGGGUGAUGGGAGCCUGGCUUGGGCCCAGGGUGGAGAUGGGCGAGAUGCACACAAUCGCCUCAGCAUCUCUCCUACAUCAGUGAGUGGGGCACUUGGAGGCGGUGGCCCAGGGCUGCCACCCACUGGCCCUGCCGGUCCCCUAUCCAAUACUCAGCCCCAGGCUGGGAUGGCCUUGGCCCACCUCACGAACUGGCACUCGCCAUCUCUCACAGUCACUGUGACCCUGCUGCCGGCGUCCAGAGAACUCCCGGAGAUGGUGAGUCGCGUGCCCCCUGAGGCUGGGCCCCGACUGGGAGUCACGCGGUUGAACAUUGGUGUCUGUGGGAGAAGCAGCCCUGAGGCGGGGGGAGGCAGCUGGGGCUGGGGCUGGGCCGCACCCCCCUCAGAAGGGGCUGGAGAGGGAAAGGGGUGGGCUGGCUACGCACCACGAAGCUGUAGAGCUGCUCAGACUGUGUGCGGAAGUCAGCCGAGCAGUCACCCACGCAGAGCUCUGCAGGCCCGGGUGGCGGGUUGGGCACCAGCGACUCCUCCAUCUCACACACGAUCCUAGGGGACAGAGGAGGUCAGGUCUGGCGCGGCGGGCGGGGCCCCAGGGCCACGGGGCUACACUCACCUCUCGGCACUGAUAUACUCAGCAGGGAUGGAGUUGCAGCGCACACCGGCCACCCGCAGGCCCACCUCUCGGGAGGUGAGACCCAGGUUCUCGCCCACAAUGGUGAUCCGGGUGCCUCCCUCCUUGGGUCCCAUAAGCGGGUGGAUCUGCAGAACAGGACAGGAGUCACCUGAGGCUUCUAGACCAAGUUGCUGGGCACAGAUCUGCACCAUGCCUGGACCUGCACCACCCAGACCCCCGAGGGCGGCGGGGGCCUCACCGAGGCAUUCUGGCACUGCACGCUGCUGCU